AUUGAACGCUGGCGGCAUGCUUUACACAUGCAAGUCGAACGGCAGCGCGGUCUUCGGCCUGGCUGCGAGUGGCGAACGGGGGAGUAAUGCAUCGGAACGUGCCCAGUAGUGGUGUAUAGCCCGGCGAAAGCCGGAUUAAUACCGCAGACUACCUGAUGGUGAAAGCGGGGGAGCGAAAGGCCUCGCGCGAUUGGAGCGGCCGAUGUCGGAUUAGCUAGUUGGUGGGGUAAAGGCUUACCAAGGCGACGAUCCGUAGCUGGUCUGAGAGGACGACCAGCCACACUGGGACUGAGACACGGCCCAGACUCCUACGGGAGGCAGCAGUGGGGAAUUUUGGACAAUGGGGGCAACCCUGAUCCAGCCAUGCCGCGUGCGGGAAGAAGGCCUUCGGGUUGUAAACCGCUUUUGUUCGGGAAGAAAUCCUCUGGGCUAAUACCCCGGGGGGAUGACGGUACCGGAAGAAUAAGCACCGGCUAACUACGUG
rnacentral:rRNA from 1 species